rfam:Myotis brandtii contig317930, whole genome shotgun sequence.
GGCAGUUCUCCAGUGAAGCACCCCAGAAUUGAGCUCACUUCUCUUUGGUUCCAGGGGCAUCACCUGAGAACCACA